rnacentral:lncRNA from 1 species
CUUGGAGCAGCUCAGUUCAAGCCUGGUCUCUGCCUUCCAGAAGCGGCCGUGGUCAUAUAUGCUCCAGCUCCCUCACAGGGCGCCGAUUAAUCACCUACCCAACAACCUCAUUUAACAGAUGAGAGAACAGACCUACAGAGCUUCACAAACAGUGGGAGUUACCCUCUCGGAGCCUCAGUUUGCUCACCUCUAGGAUGGGAUGAUGACACCUCCCUCACCAAGCUCCUGCGUGGAAUAGUCCCUCGGAGUCCCUGAAAAUUUGAGCAACAUAAAGUGGCGUGACAGCCCUACUCAGCACGCAGGCAGCGACACAGCAGCAAACAACUUGCGUCUGUUUCCUGGUGGCUUGUUCUCUGGGACGCAGAAAAGAACAUGGCGACCGCCAACAUUCAGGCCUAUCUGGAUGCCACCACAGUGUGACUUGAUGAGCAGUGUGUCGGUCCGCACCUGGAAUCCAGGCCGAGAACCCUGGGCCACUGAAGCGGAGCCCGAGAACUUAACCAUUACGCCACCAGGCCGGCCCCUGGAUCCUCAAUAAUUUUUAAGAGUGUAAAGAGAUCUUGAGACCAAAUGGUUUGAGAACAGCUGCCCUGGUCUAAGACAGAUCUAUUCCCUUUAUCUCCUCUCCCAUUUUGGCCUCUGGAAGAGUUCUGUUUAUUGAGUGCCUACUGUGGAAAAACACUCAGCUCUCUCUCAUUUGUAAGGAGGAUGAAACAGUUAUGAAAUACACGUGACUUGGCAUCUCAGCCUUUAACUCCUGGUCUCUACUUUCAGCAAAUGUCUGAGUAGAUUUUCUCCAAGUUAUUUUCUUCCUCCUCCUUUCUUUGUAUUUACUCAUUCAUUGAAUAAACAUCAUAGGACACCCUUUAAUAAGAAAUAAAAUUAGCUAAUUUUUAUCAAAC